rnacentral:rRNA from 1 species
AAUAUUGCGCAAUGGGGGAAACCCUGACGCAGCGACGCCGCGUGAAGGAAGGAGGUUUUCGGAUUGUAAACUUCUAUCAGCAGGGAAGAUGAUGACAGUACCUGACUAAGAAGCCCCGGCUAACUACGUGCCAGCAGCCGCGGUAAUACGUAGGGGGCAAGCGUUAUCCGGAUUUACUGGGUGUAAAGGGGGCGUAGGUGGCUAGACAAGUCAGAUGUGAAAGCCCGGGGCUCAACUCCGGGACUGCAUUUGAAACUGUAGAGCUAGAGUGCAGGAGAGGUAAGUGGAAUUCCUAGUGUAGCGGUGAAAUGCGUAGAUAUUAGGAGGAACACCAGUGGCGAAGGCGGCUUACUGGACUGUAACUGACACUGAGGCACGAAAGCGUGGGGAGCAAACAGG